UACGAAGGGGGCUAGCGUUGUUCGGAAUUACUGGGCGUAAAGCGCACGUAGGCGGGUUGUUAAGUCAGGGGUGAAAUCCUGGAGCUCAACUCCAGAACUGCCUUUGAUACUGGCAACCUAGAGGCUGGAAGAGGUUAGUGGAACUCCCAGUGUAGAGGUGAAAUUCGUAGAUAUUGGGAAGAACACCAGUGGCGAAGGCGGCUAACUGGUCCAGAUCUGACGCUGAGGUGCGAAAGCGUGGGGAGCAAACAGG
rnacentral:rRNA from 1 species